GGAGACCUUGGGACCGCUCCCGCCCCGGGCCCUGGAGAGGGGAAGAAAUGAAUCUAAGCUUCGCCAGGACAGAAGCCCUGUGUCCCCUGUCAAGUGGAGAGUUCCCAGUGCCUAAAACAUGGGCGGGCAGGCAAUGAAUGAAUGAUGCACCCAGGAACCUAAUUUUGAACCAGACAAGCCAAUAGUUUAGCUGCCCGAUAUUUACAUAAAUGAAAACAAACAAGACAUGAAAAAAAAAAGCAGGAGAAAAAUCUUAACUGUGUGAAAGGGACUUAAGUAUUUCUACACAGCUCAAAGCCAGAAGCUGAGAUCAAAUAACUCCUAAAACUGUCCUGAAUGUGCUCUGUGACACUCUGCACAGACGUGGCCUGCCUUUGCUCUGGGAGGGGCCCCAGGUACUGUCUUGAUCAAGGGACAGGCCAAGUGCCCCUCCUUGUCCUCGGUUUACCUCUGGCCAGAGGCAGGGGGUUCCAAAGGCUCACACUGUAGGAAUUAGCUGACUCUGUUACUCACCACAGUGAGCACAUAUUGAGCGCUUACUGUGUGCCAGACUCAGUGCUAAGCACCUCAGUAAAAAAUGAUCUUAUUUAAUAUCUUUCCACUCACCUUAGAGUGUAAUCAUUGUUAUUAUCCAUUUUAUAGAUGGGAAAACUGAGGUUCAGAAAGGCUACUCAUCGAGUCACAUAACCAAGUGACAAAGUUGAGAUUUGAACCUCAUCCUACUUACUCCAAAUUCUUGCUCUUUAAUGAUCUCUUGAUGCCAGAGUUGAGAUUAGUGACGAAGCCAUCCUGUCGCAGGGGAACCUCUCUGUCGAAUGCCGAAUGCCGUGUAAUUGUAUUUAAUAUGAAGAGACUGGCUGUUUGCCUCCCUGUCCAGCAGAGGGACCGUCCUCUGGCCAAUUGUAGCUACCACUGCCAGGUGCCCAGGCGAAGCCAAGAAGGGAAGAAAACACCCAGACCCUGAGGGAGGGUCUUUCAUGGAGACACCCCCAAUUGCAGGAGAAGUGGAAUCUUUUAUUGAAAUUAUAAAGUACGCAGCAUGGUGUCAGCUUGGGGUCUGCAAGACCUCGGCGCCCAAGUUCAUCCUGCCUGGAGCUCGCUCCCUCACCCUGGCGUCCCUCGUGAGUUCUGAGCCUCCCCGAGACUGUUCAGAUGUCCCCUCUCUGCGAGGCUUCCUGGACCACAGGCCAAGCAACUCUGGCUCCUGCCACACCCCACCCACCCUGAACUCUGCUACAUAAGUCACAAAAUAUGAAUUCUCUGUUUCUGCGUCUGUCACCCCUUCCACAUUGUGAAGUCCUUGGGGGCACAUUCCUGAGACACCACUGAGAAUAAAGCAUGCUCAGCCUGUUCU